UGUACUUAAUACAGUAUGUGAUAUAAACUUUCUUACCUUAAGGUGGCUAUUAUAUUAGGAAUACUAUAAAGGAGAGGUUAAGAUCACAGAUGUGGGAGUCAGACUGCUUGAGUUUGAAUCCUAGAUCUGCUACUUUUUUAGUUGUGUAACAUAAAGAAAGUUACUUAACCUCUCUAUAAUUCAGUUUCUCAUUUUAAAUGGAGAUAAUAAUUGUAUCCACUUCAUAGGGUUGUGGUCAGAGUUAAAUGAGUUGCAGUUCCCCAAAUGGGCCAUAAUCUUCAUCAUAACCAAGCCUUUGUAGUAUAUGUUCCUGCACCUCACCACUCCUUCAUUUAGGUCCAGGUUAGCUAGUCCAUUCUCUAAGAAACUUGUGAUCUCUCAAGUUCAGAUGUGCCUUCUCUUUUCUUUCUUUUCUUUUCUUUUCUUUUCUUUCUUUUCAUUUCCUUUUUCCUUCCUCCGUUCUUUUCUCCUUCCUUCCUUCUUUCUCUUUUUUCUUUCUUCUUUCUUUCUUUCUUUCUUUCUUUUUCUUUCUUUCUUUCCUUCCUUCCUUCCUCCCUUCUUCUUUUUGUGCAUGUGCAUGCACUUUCUUGAAAAGGACCCAAAGCAAUGUUACUUAUGACUCAACAUCAUACCAAGAUUCUGAGAAACUGCCCUUUCACAUUAAACAUUCAUAUUUGAAGACUAAGUCAAUCUUUGAGGACUAGUCUAGCAGACAAUUAGAAAGGGCAGCCUGGGUGCAGUGGCUCAUGUCUAUAAUCCCAGCACUUUGGGAGGCCUAGACAAGAGGGUCACUUGAGCCCAGAAGUUCAUGACCAGCCUGGGCAACAUAACAACAUCUCUACAAAAAAUAAAACACACUAGCUGGGCAUGGUGGUGCAUGCCUGUGGUCCCAGCUACUUGGGAGGCUGAGGCAGGAGGAUCACUUAAGACCAGAAAUUUGAGGCUACUGUGAGCUAUGAUCACACCACUGCACUCCAGCCUGGACAUCAGAGUGAGACCUUGUCCCAAACAAACAAACAAAAACACAGAAACGGCAAAUUCCCUCCUGUCUUCAAUGUCACCUCACCUCUCUAGUAACCAAAACUCUGCUACCAGCCUAAACUUGUUUCCCAGACUCUUUUUUCUGAAGAUGGAUUAACUCCUGAGGGCUUUGCAAAUUCUUCAUGGACGCAGAUUUCUGGAGAAUACAUCCCAGCACUUCACUGAAAAUGACAAACCUGGUCUAGAUCUCAAUAGAUGCAUCCUAGAUUAAAGCUGGGAUCGCCAUUGUAUUAACAUAAGAAAAAAAAUCUUCCCUACAUUUUCUGUGGACUCUGUGUGUGUGUUUCUUUUGAGGUUGGGAUGCUUUUUAAUCUCCUACAUUGUGAUAAUAUCUAUCCCUGCUUUUGAGCCAAGUUAAAUGCAGCCUCAUGUGCUGAAGGCAUAUAAGUCCGUGGCAAAAAAAAAAAGAAGACAUGAAAAGGGAAGUUGGAGCCGAAGCUCACAAAGACAUUGGGAAGAGGGAAUGUACUGCCCAGAAUGGUUCCAAUAAAAGUCAGGAAAUGAUCCUCAAGUCAACAAAAGUUUAGAGUUAGUGACGCUUGUAAGACUUUAAUAUUUAAUAUAACCCCUCCAGUUUGAUCAAAAGCAUCUUACAUUUUCUGGCAUUUGAGUGAAAAUAAUUCCUGGCUUCAUUACAUUUUAAAAAUUCAGCUAAAAGUCAUAAAAUAAAGUAGCACAAAAUUUGUAAUGUAAAUAUUAAAUGGCAGUACAGUGUUCAACACAAUCCACUUUCAUUCUCACCAUCAUCCAUGGCCAUGAGUCCCUUCAUUUUCAUUCAUUUAUUUAUUCACUAUAUAUUUAUUGAGGAGUCACCUUGCACAAGUCAAAAGAAAAAUCACAGUUGACUCAUAAGGGAAAAAGAACUGAAAUACAGUGAAGGGAAACAGUAGAUGAAUAUACAAGAUAUAUUAGAGGAAAAAUGUUAAUACCGUUGACCUAAUGAACACUUUUUAUGUUCCAGGCACUAUUCUAAACACUUUAUUAACUAUUUUGAUCCUCACAGAACACCUAUGAGAUGGACACUCUUAUUGCCUCCAAUAUACAGGUGAGGAAAUUAAGAUGAAGUCAAGUUAUAUACUCAAAUUUUUAAAAUAAUUUCUCUGUUAUGUGCUUUGGAUGGUAGUCAAGGUAACUGUCUUGUUCCAGGAAUAUUUUUCCAGGGGAGGGGGCCUAUAAGGAGCAUAUUGGAAAUAUUGGAUUUGAGCAGAGGUGAGCAACCUUUUUUUGUGGAAAACCAGAUAGUAAAUAUUUCAGUUCUGAGGGCUGAGUGGUCUCUGUUGUUUAGCUUUGCCAUUGUAGUGCAAAAGUAGCUGUAGGCAAUAUGUAAACAAAUGAGUGUGGGUUUGCUCUAAAAAUAUUCCAGUUAUGGUCAUUGAAAUUUAAAUGUGUUUUAAUUUUUACAUAUCACAAAAUAUUCUUCUUUUGAUUUUAUUUCAACCUCUACUAAAGGUAAACGAUUUUUAGUUCACAGGUCAUACAGGCAGAGUUGGAUUUGUCUCAUGGACUGUAGCUUGCUGGCCUCUGGCUUAGAAAAUAUAGAAUAUGAGUCCCAUUAAAGGAUGAAUGGGAGUUUUCCAGGCAGACAAAGGCAUUCCAAAUGAAGAAAAUAGCAGCUGGCAAAGACAUAAGUAGGUGAACAGGCCUGACUGUUUUGAAGAGCUAUAAACGGCAUCAUUGUCACUAGGUGUUGGAGUGGGUGGAAGACACAGAGAAGGGAAUGGAAGAAUCUCUUGAGGGAAUUUGACCUUUACUGUGUAGGCAGUGGGAAACCACUGUGGAUUCUGUGAUAUAAUGAGGUUUGCAUUUUGGAAAGUCUCUCUGGAAGCAAAGUGAAAAACUGAUGCUAGUAGUCCAAAGCAGAAGAAAAAGAAAACAUUUAAACAAUUUUGGUAGUACAGCAAAAGACCAUAUAGAUGCAAGCUGCUCAUCUCUUAGUUCCUUGGAAUUUUCUGUUUUCUUCACACAUACCAUGUCCUUUCCUGACUCAGAACCAUUGUAGAUGAUAUUCUUCCUUCCUGGAAUUUUUUUCUUCUCUUAUAUCACUUAACUCCUUUUCAUCCUUUAGGUUUCAGUUUUAAUGUCACUUCUCCAGGAAAGCUUUCAUAGACCCCACUCAGAUCAGGAUUCACAGCCUUUUGAGACACAAAAGUGGACUUGUACUUCUCUUUAGCUACAAUCGCAUAACAUUUGCUCAGGAUCUGUCUCCUGUGCUAGACUGUAAGUCAACUGUCUGCCCCUAUAUUCCAGGGUCUUUCACAGUGCCUACUUCAGAGUAGAUACUCAAUGAAUAUUUGUAGUGACAUGGGAUUGAAAGAAAGGAUACUUACCAAGCAGCAUUGACUUGAAUUUUGUGAUUUAACAGUUGAAUGAGGAAUAAAAUAGGGCUAAGGAUAAUUCCUAGAUUUGGGUGACAAAAUACUUGGUGGCACACACAGAGAGAAUAUAGGAUGGAAGUUAAAUUUGAGGCACUUAUGGAAACGUUGAUUUUGAAUUGCCUCUGGGACAUCUGAGGAGACAUGUCAGGAGAUGUUUUGUCUCCUCCUCACUGGACUAGGAUGAUCAUUUUAUAUUUGAUCCUGAUUAAAACCUGAUUCAUCGUAAUUCAGUCCUAAUAUCAGACUUAGAAAUGCAUAUCUUCAUAAUUUAAUUUAAAAUAUUCAUUUUAAAAUAAAAUUUAUUAUUAG
rnacentral:lncRNA from 10 species